rnacentral:rRNA from 1 species
ACGGUGAUCUCGUAGCUUGCUGCGGGUGAUCAGUGGCGAACGGGUGAGUAACACGUGAGUGACCUGCCCCUGACUCUGGGAUAACUCCGGGAAACCGGUGCUAAUACUGGAUAUGACUGCUCAUCGCAUGGUGGGUGGUGGAAAGUUUUUCGGUCAGGGAUGGACUCGCGGCCUAUCAGCUUGUUGGUGGGGUAAUGGCCUACCAAGGCGACGACGGGUAGCCGGCCUGAGAGGGUGACCGGCCACACUGGGACUGAGACACGGCCCAGACUCCUACGGGAGGCAGCAGUGGGGAAUAUUGCACAAUGGGCGCAAGCCUGAUGCAGCGACGCCGCGUGAGGGAUGACGGCCUUCGGGUUGUAAACCUCUUUCAGCUCUGAAGAAGCGUAAGUGACGGUAGGAGCAGAAGAAGCACCGGCUAACUACGUGCCAGCAGCCGCGGUAAUACGUAGGGUGCGAGCGUUGUCCGGAAUUAUUGGGCGUAAAGAGCUUGUAGGCGGUUUGUCGCGUCUGCUGUGAAAACUCGGGGCUCAACCCUGAGCGUGCAGUGGGUACGGGCAGACUAGAGCGUGUAGGGAGACUGUAUUCUGUUACGGUGGAAUGCACAGAUAUCAGAGGAACACCGAUGGCGAAGGCGGGUCUCUGGGCCAUAACUGACGCUGAAAAGCGAAAGCAUGGGGGAGCGAACAGGAUUAGAUACCCUGUAAGUUCCAUGCCCGUAACGUUGGGGCACUAGGUGUGGGGUCUCAUUCCACGAGGUCCGUGCCGC